UUUCUGUCUUCAGCCCCAGCAUGCUGAGUCACCUCUAUGGCAGGAGCAUGGAAAGAAUUCAGCACAUGGGGGACAGUUUCUGAUGACAGUCACUUCUCUACCACAGAUGAUAUCUGUGCUGGUGCUGUUUUGCAUAGAUAAAUACUAUGACUGUAAUGUGGGAACCGAAUGGCAGGUCAUUAUGCACCAGCACCCUCAGAGAUAGAAAUGACUGUGGGAGCUCAGAAAGCUGAGGCAGGAGGAUUGCUUGAGUCCAGGAUUUUUGGCAUCAGCCUGGGACGCACAAGAAGACCUUAAAACAAAACGGAAGUAAUGUGACGUUAUUCCACAGAACUUUGACUAUGCUAACGGUAGAAUGAAGCCACAAGUGUAGUAUUUUGUUAUUAUCCCAAUGCAGCCUCAUUUUAUAGGAGACUAGAUGUUAUAAAUGAGGUCAUAAAUAAAAGAAAAUGGC
rnacentral:lncRNA from 1 species